rnacentral:tRNA from 1 species
AGGGCCAUGGCGCAAGGGAAUAACGCGUCUGACUACGGAUCAGAAAUUCUAGGUUCGCUCCUGGCUGGCUCGA